ACGGGAAUGUACCGAGAUCCUGCGGCGUAAGCGUCUGUAGGUGGUUUAGUAAGUCAACUGUUAAAUCUUGAGGCUCAACUUCAAAAUCGCAGUCGAAACUAUUAGACUAGAGUAUAGUAGGGGUAAAGGGAAUUUCCAGUGGAGCGGUGAAAUGCGUAGAGAUUGGAAAGAACACCGAUGGCGAAGGCACUUUACUGGGCUAUUACUAACACUCAGAGACGAAAGCUAGGGUAGCAAAUGGGAUUAGAUACCCCAGUAGUCCUAGCUGUAAACAAUGGAUACUAGAUGUUGAACAGAUCGACCUGUGCAGUAUCAAAGCUAACGCGUUAAGUAUCCCGCCUGGGAAGUAUGCUCGCAAGAGUGAAACUCAAAGAAAUUGACGGGAGGGA
rnacentral:rRNA from 1 species